rnacentral:lncRNA from 10 species
CAGAAGAGGAACACACACACCCACACACAACACAGAAAGAACCAGGUCAUCUUUCACGAACUGGUGAAUUCACAGAAAUCAGUGAAUUAAGAAACAGAAAAACAGUGGAGUUAGUAUAUACAUUAAUAAAUGGAUUUUUUUGUAAGGGGUAAAUGAUUAAUUAUUUUAUUUCAUUUUUUUGAGACAGAGUUUCGCUCUUGUCGCCCAGGCCAGAGCUCAGUGGCAUGAUCUCGGCUCACUGCAACCUCCGCCUCCUGGGUUCAAGUGACUCUCAUGUCUCAGCCUCCCGAGUGGCUGGGACUACAGGGUGCACACUACCAUGCCUGGCUAAUUUUGUGUUUUUAGGAGACACGGGGUUUCACCAUGUUGGCCAGGCUGGUCUCAAACUCCUGACCUCAAGUGAUCCACCCGCCUUGGCCUCCCAAAGUGCUGGGAUUACAGGCGUGAGCCAACGUGCCUGGCCUCAAACAAUUAAUUAGACUAGUAGGUAGUCAGACCAAAAAUAAAGAAGACGCAGAUAUAAAAUUCAAAAGAAAAAUUUGCAAAUCUCUGCAAAUAAGUCUGCAAACCUGGGCGACACUGAUGAUUUUUUAGGAAAAUAUAAAUCAUCAAUGUAGGCCAAGAAUAGACUUUUUUUUUUUUUAAGAGACGGGGUCUUGCUUGCUAUACUGCCCAGGCCAGUCUCGGACUCCUGGGCUUAAGCUAUCCUCCCACCUCAACCUCCUAAAAUUCUGGGAUUACAGGUGUGAGCCACUGCACCCAGCUAGAUUUUUUUUAAUGUAGACCAAAAAUGAUGAGUGUUAUUAAGAAAUUCUUUCCCUUCCAUCAAAAAAAAAGAAGCAAAACUCAGACAGUUUUACAAGCUAGUUCUCUAAAAACUUCAAGGAACAAAUAAUUUCAAUUUUAUGUAAACAUUUGCAGAGAACACGGAAACAGGGAGAUCUCCCUAAUUCUUUCCAUGAAGCCAGCAUAAUAAAUCAAGACAAACAUCUGACCAGAUCUCCUAAUGUAGUUCACCUCCUUCAUAGCUGAAAGGAUAAUAAUAAUAAUAAUUUCUAUAAAUAAUAAAAAUGGUAUUUUGUGGGGGCCGGAGGCCAAGGCUGGCAGAUUGCCUGAGCUCAGGAGUUCGAGACCACCUUGGGCAACAUGGUGAAACCCCGUCUCUACUAAAAUACAAAAAAAUUAGCCAGCAGUGGUGGUGGGUGCCUGUAAGCCCAGUUAUUCAAGAGGCUGAGGCAGGAGAAUCACUUGAACCCGGGAGGCGGAGGUUGCAGUGAGCUGAGAUCAAGCCACUGCACUCCAGCCCUGGGUGAUAGAGUGAGAUUCUGUCUCCAAAAAAAUAAAUAAAAAUAAAAUAAAAAAUGUUUUGUAGGGGCCAGGUGUGGUGGUUCAUGCCUGUAAUCCCUGCAUUUUGGGAGGACAAGAUGGGAGGAUCCCUUGAUCCCAGGAGGUGGAGGCCAGCCUGGGCAACAUGGUAAGACCCUGUCCCUAAAAAAAAUUAAGAAUCCAGCUGGGUGUGGUGGCACACACCUGUAGUCUCAGCUACUGGGGAGGUUGAGGUGGGAGGAUCACUUGAGCCCGGGAGGUGGAGGCUACAGUGAACCGUGAUUGCACCACCGCACUCCAGUUUGGGUGACGGAGGGAGACCCUGUCUCAAAAAAAUAAAAAUGUUGGCCAGGCUUGGUGGCUCACGCCUGCAAUCCCAGCACUUUGGGAGGCCAAGGUGAGUGGAUCACCUGAGGUUGGGAGUUUGAGACCAGCCUGACCAACAUGGAGAAAGCCCAUCUCUACUAAAAAUACAAAAUUAACCAGGCAUGGUGGUACAUGCCUGUAAUCUCAGCUACUCGGGAGGCUGAGGCAGGAGAAUCACUUGAACCUGGGAGGCGUAGGUUGCAGUGAGCCAAGAUCGCGCCACUGCACUCCAGCCUGGGCAACAAGAGCAAAACUCCAUCUCAAAAAAUAAAUAAAUAAAUAAAUAAAUAAAUAAAUAAAUAAAAGUAAAAAUGCUUUGUGAAUAGUCAUUGGUGGAUCCCUUCUUCCUAAUAAUGAGAAGCUCUGGUCCUUUUUCCCUGAGUCAGCAACAAGGCAGGGACAACCACUACCACUAUGUCCGCUGGGCCUCACUCCGGCUGUACCAGCCAAUGAGUCAAUGGGAGAAAGAGAAACAGAUAUUAGACAGGAACUGAAACCUUCCCAUGCACACCGACCCUAUGAAACAGAAGAACACCCAAGAGAAUCGCAGGAGCACCUGUUAUGGGAGGAUGACCCGUUUCCAAGUCAAGACACCAAAAGUAAUAACCUUCCCACAGACAAGUAGUUAGCAAAUAUAAUUGCAGAAAACCUCCGAUCUGUAAGGAAAGCAACCACAAAGACGUACAAUACCCUAGGACUAGGCCUGAGGAGUCUGCACAGGAGCUGUCUGAGGAGAGCGGUGGACGUGACUGAAGGCACAGCAGGGGCGCCUUGCCCACGAAGGUGUCAGGAAGCCAAGGAGACCUAUGGGCUCUGCUGCUGGAAGAUUCAAUGACAAAGCCUGGUGGACAUUGUGGAAAUUUUCAUGAUGAUGCAGUCAUAGAUUAACUAAACCUCAUUAAGAUCCAAGACACUUCGGGCCGGGCGCGGUGGCUCACUCCUGUAAUCCCAGCACUUUGGGAGGCCGAGGCAGGCGGAUCACGAGGUCAGGAGUUCGAGACCAGCCGGGCCAACGUGGCAAAACCCUGUCUCUACUAAAAAUAAAAAAAAUGUGGCGGGCACCUGCAAUCCCAGCUACUCGGGAGGCUGAGGCAGGAGAAUCGCUUGAACUCGAGAGGCAAAGGUUGCGGUGAGCCAAGAUCGUGCCAUUGCACCCCAGCCUGGGUGACAAGAGCAAGACUCCGUCUCAAAAAAAAAAAGAUCCAAGACACUUUGGAUCAUGACACUGUUGAGCUGAACAUAAAAAUGCAGGAGAUGUGUCAUAUUCGGUGGCUUAUGUGGCCUGAUCAUUGCAAAGUUUCUCAAAAAUUAUUUUUUGAUUCAACCAUGACCAAAAAGGCGCUGCUGCAAUCUUGAACGUCCAGGCCAGACAGAGAAGCAGAAGGCUAAGUUCUGGCGUGGCUUGUCCACUUACCACCGAAUGAACUUGAGCAAAGCCUGUGGCUUCUGUAAAACGUCA